rnacentral:tRNA from 1 species
GGGGACAUAGCUCAGUGGCACAGGACCUGCCUGGCAAGUGUGAGGUCCUGAGUUCAAUUCCCAGUACCCCCC